UUUGCGUCGGCGUGCAAUUGCCGUCGCUAAAGCCUACUCUUUUGCGACGGCAAAACUUGACCGUCGCAAUUGUAUAGAGAUUUUGCGACCGUAUUAACUGCCGUCGCCCCUAGUGGUCGCCAACCACUAUGAAUUUACUUCGGCAAGCAUUAGCCGUCGCAAGUUUUUAACAGUUUGCUACUGCAAAACACUUGCCGUCGCUUUAGGGUGGUUAUCUGAACGAUUCUAUCUCUUUGAUUAAAAGAAAACUUCUUUUCUUUCUCUGCGCUGCUCUCUUUCUUCUUUGACCCCAUGACUCCAUCUCGAUCCGACACUGAUGAUUACUUUCAGAUUUCCUCUCUAGAUCUGCCAAAUUCGUAGCAGAAUGUAACCGCCGACUAAUUGCUGCGAUUUCGGUCCUGUCAAGUUUACCAAGCUAUCUACAAACCAAUCGUUCCUCUCAAGAUCCUUCCUCUGGGUGAGAAACAAAAGGAAAAGGUCAGUACUAUGUACAUCUGUAUGUCAAGAGUUCCUUUGAAAAUCUGUUAAUUAGAUUGGGUUUUCAUAUUAUGUAAACUUUCACCGAAUCUAAUAUCAAAUUCUGAUAGGAUACGUUAGGGUUUUAGUCUAUUUUGAAGAUCGAAAGAGUUGUGAGCUCCCUUUGUAGUUCCGCUUAAGAGAUUUAGGUUUUUCUUUUGGGUCCGGUAAUUGUCUCCCUUAAUUCUCAGGUCUGGUUGUAUUUGGAUGUGAAUAUGGUCUCGAUUAUUAUGGGUUUUGUUUAAAGUUGUGGUCUUUCGAUGGAUAUUGGGGGUUUUAGAUUUGUGGGUUUUCCAUUGUUUUGUUUUUUGGUGAAAUUGGGUUUUGGGUUUGGUUUGUUUGAUCGUCGAUUGUGGAAAUUGAAAAUGAGGGUAUGGUUUUUGCUUGAUUGUUCACUACAAAAAAGAAUUGCAAUGGCUACACAUGGAUAGCGUCAGUAGCCAAAAGGAGCAUUGGCUUUGAGGUAUUGAAUAUAAUUUCAUUCAUAGUUGAAGGGUUUUGGGUUGAAUAGAAUUUCAUUCAUGCCUGAAGGGACGUUCUGUUACAGUGAAUCUCUGAUAUAGUUGAAUUUGCAGAAAUUGCUGGAUGCUUACAGAGGUUAAAAAGCUCAGAGAAGCAGAAUAUUUGCAGGCAUUUCAACUCUGACCAUCCCUGUGCAGUUCCAAGCAAACAAAAUGGACUCAAUUUGGAUAAAUACUGACAAACCAAGGGACAUUGUUUAACGUUUAUGAGCCAAAGAAGAACGAUCUAAACUUUGCACUCAAAGAAGAAGUGUGAAAGCCAAGAUUGGGAAGCUACUGUUCACUGUUGUCAGCAAGCUCUUAUUGUUUGCACUUUGAGUUUUGACACCUCCACAUUUGAACUAUGUAUUGCUGGAGCUAUCAUUGUCAAGUUUCCUGUUUUGGGGAGCUCAUCUCCGGGACCUUCCAAUACCAAAGUUUUUGGCCAUUUUGUCAGCAUGGGAUUUUCCAAUAAUGGGGGCAAACUACUUUGAAGCUACUGUCAAAUGGUUGCCAAAGCUAUUCAGGAACAUGGCGAGGAAAGCGCCGAUUCAAUCCGUCACAUCAUUGUUUUCAGCAAUAGUACUAUCUUCAACUGUCGAGAUCUCAGCCUCAUUCUGUUUUACAUGCUUUGACAGUCCUUUGAGAUCAGAUAGACAAGUUUCUUAGCUCCAUGAUGAAAACAUGUCAUUGUUACUUUCCUUUUUCUCUUUUUCCUGUGCAAUCAUACAAUAAAAACAAAUGUGAGGGCAAGCGUGUUGCUGAGACCUUGAUGUUUGACUAUCAUCGGCAACAUGGGAUAGCUUCUGGGCACAGUUUUUACUGCCUAUGCUUUCUGUUUUCAAAAAAGGCUCAGGGAGAUUUUCCUUAAGCAGGAUAAUCUUAUCCAAGGCCGUUUCCUUGCUGAGCUGACAAAGCAAGUGUUUUCUGAUCUUUCUGCCAGUAAAUAUCAGAUGGCUGAGCACAGAAUAUCAAAAUAUGGCAAGAAGCAAAGUGAGUGGGACCAAAUGGCUAGUUGGAUAGUGAACAAUGAAUUGUACAGUGAGAAUGUUGUAUGGUUGAUACAGCUGCCACGGCUGUACAAUAUAUACCAGGAAAUGGGAUAUAUUGUACAUACUGUAUCAUUAUGUGAUAGGUUCAAGAUGCAUCCAGUGGCCAUGAAAUUAGAAGGGAGUCCAUAGGAGAAGGAGUUCAUCCAGAUUCAACUAGUGAUCAAGAAAUUGAGCACGCUCCAGUACUCACCAAGCCCUCUAGUUAAUGAUAAAUAGUAUUGUGGUCAAGUCUGCUUUUGAACAAUAUUAAGUUUGGGAAUGUUUCUUCCAGAGUUUCAGUUAUCUAGUAUGGUAGAUUCUUAGUAGAUUCGUAUAAUUAUGAAAGACUCUGGUUUGUUUGGUUAAUUUCAAUUUGUACUUGGUAAUGAAAUAUAACUUGGCACUUAUCAGUUGUGAGAUAGC